GCCAGGUGUGGUGGUGCACGCCUGUAGUCCCAGCUACUCGGGAGGCUGAGGCAGAAGAAUCGCUUGAACCCAGGAGGCAGAAGUUGCAGUGAGCCAAGAACGUGCCACUGCACUCCAGCCUGGGUGACAGAGUGAGACUCCGUCUCAA
rfam:Pan troglodytes isolate Yerkes chimp pedigree #C0471 (Clint) chromosome 4, whole genome shotgun sequence.